rnacentral:rRNA from 1 species
UACGUAGGUGGCAAGCGUUGUCCGGAUUUAUUGGGUUUAAAGGGUGCGUAGGUGGGCAAGUAAGUCAGUGGUGAAAUCUCCGGGCUUAACCCGGAAACUGCCAUUGAUACUAUUUGUCUUGAAUACUGUGGAGGUCAGCGGAAUAUGUCAUGUAGCGGUGAAAUGCUUAGAUAUGACAUAGAACACCAAUUGCGAAGGCAGCUGGCUACACAAAUAUUGACACUGGGGCACGAAAGCGUGGGGAUCAAACAGG